GGGGGCGAAAGGAUUCGACCGGACGGGUGACAUGUCGGUGGCGCGCCGAGGUUCCAGGAGGCCUCGUUAAACACCUGGACAACUACAAUUGCCAAUCACACUUUGGCAAUGGCCGCCUAAUCAGGCGGCACGCCCGCUGGGCCUUGCCCGCGAGGUCCGGAUGGGUGAAAGCAGCGGGCUGGCCGCUGCGGAGUGGCCCGGUUACCGCAGCGGCGAGAACCCGUCGGGCUGGCCGUCGGCGAACCGUGUCGUUGCGGGCCGCUGAGGGCGAGCCCCGCCCGCCGAAGCCUCGGCCAAGGCGGGCCCAAAACAGCGACUAUGCACGUAGAGGCCGGCAUCGAAACGUCACGGGACGCGGGUUCGAUUCCCGCCGCCUCCAGUU
rnacentral:tmRNA from 1 species